GGACCCGCACAAGCGGUGGAGCAUGUGGUUUAAUUCGACGAUACACGAAGAACCUUACCUGGACUUGACAUAGUAAGAACUUUCUAGAGAUAGAUUGGUGUCUGCUUGCAGAAACUUAUAUACAGGUGCUGCACGGCUGUCGUCAGCUCGUGUCGUGAGAUGUUGGGUUAAGUCCCGCAACGAGCGCAACCCUCGUGUUUAGUUGCUAACAGUUCGGCUGAGAACUCUAAACAGACUGCCUACGCAAGUAGGAGGAAGGUGAGGACGACGUCAAGUCAUCAUGGCCCUUACGUCCAGGGCUACACACGUGCUACAAUGGAGUAUACAAAGAGCUGCGAUACAGUGAUGUGGAGCAAAUCUUAUAAAAUACUUCCCAGUUCGGAUUGUAGUCUGCAACUCGACUACAUGAAGUUGGAAUCGCUAGUAAUCGUAGAUCAGCUAUGCUACGGUGAAUACGUUCCCGGGUCUU
rnacentral:rRNA from 1 species